rnacentral:lncRNA from 1 species
CCGGUAGUUGACCACGGUACGGCUUGCACGGUGCCAACUUUUUCCGGCGAAGCUGUCGUGCUAACUGAGGAAGUAGGCACAGCAGUGAGCAGUGCUAUACGCUGCAACGAUGCUGUUACAGAAGCUUCAUCAGCGGAUUAUGGCCACGAAGCAGAGGACCGAAGUGAAAUGACCUCGGCAUCUGCACCACCGCACUGUUCAACUGGUAGGGCAGCGUUGAAUGAUUGGGAGAAGUUUCCUUUGUAAAGUAUUUUGUCGUGUCUCUCUUC